rnacentral:rRNA from 1 species
UACCAGCUCUCCGAGUUGUAGGGACGAUUAUUGGGCUUAAAGCGUCCGUAGCCGGCUUAGCAAGUCUCCUGUUAAAUUCAGCGACCCAAUCGUUGAGCCGCGGGAGAUACUACUAGGCUAGGAGGCGGGAGAGGUCGACGGUACUUUCGGGGUAGGGGUGAAAUCCUAAAAUCCCGGGAGGACCACCAGUGGCGAAGGCUGUCGACUAGAACGCGCUCGACGGUGAGGGACGAAAGCUGGGGUAGCGAACCGGAUUAGAUACCCGGGUAGUCCCAGCUGUAAACUAUGCGGGCUAGGUGUUGGGGUGGCUACGGGCCACUUCAGUGCCGCAGGAAGCCAUUAAGCCCGCCGCCUGGGGAGUACGGCCGCAAGGCUAGAAACCUAAAGGAAUUGGCGGGGGAGCACCACAAGGCGUGAAGCUUGCGGUUC